GAUGAACGCUGGCGGCGUGCCUAAUACAUGCAAGUCGAGCGAACAGAUGAGGAGCUUGCUCCUCUGACGUUAGCGGCGGACGGGUGAGUAACACGUGGAUAACCUACCUAUAAGACUGGGAUAACUUCGGGAAACCGGAGCUAAUACCGGAUAAUAUAUUGAACCGCAUGGUUCAAUAGUGAAAGACGGUUUUGCUGUCACUUAUAGAUGGAUCCGCGCCGCAUUAGCUAGUUGGUAAGGUAACGGCUUACUAAGGCAACGAUGCGUAGCCGACCUGAGAGGGUGAUCGGCCGCACUGGAACUGAGACACGGUCCAGACUCCUACGGGAGGCAGCAGUAGGGAAUCUUCCGCAAUGGGCGAAAGCCUGACGGAGCAACGCCGCGUGAGUGAUGAAGGUCUUCGGAUCGUAAAACUCUGUUAUUAGGGAAGAACAAAUGUGUAAGUAACUAUGCACGUCUUGACGGUACCUAAUCAGAAAGCCACGGCUAACUACGUG
rnacentral:rRNA from 1 species